rnacentral:sRNA from 1 species
GCUGGGUGUUAUGGCACACACCUGUAAUCCUAGCAACUCAGAAGGCUGAGACAGGAGGAUCAUGAGUUCAAAGCCUGCCUUAGCAACUUAAUGAGGUCCUAAGCAACUUAGUGAGACCCUGUCUCUA